CGCAGCUACAGAUGAGAGUUUGAAGACGGCAGAGGUUGAGGGAAACUUUGGGAAUUUUGUUAUUGUGGCUGAAGAAGAUUUGACCGAAGAGAGAAAGAAGACUGAGGAAAUUGUGGGAGUUAAGGAGCAGCGUACAAGUGGCUAGAUGGAUGGACAGGAUAGCUGGGCUGAACACGUGGUUCCCAACGUGUUCCUUUAUCUUGAUUCAUUUAUUUAUGCUUUAGUUUAUUUCUUGGGAUAGCUGUAUAGCUUUUGGUCCCCACUUAUGAUCUUAGUAUAAAAGUAUGCUGCAUGAUUAUGAAACCCUAAGAAAUAUAUGAAAUUCCUCCUCUCAUCUCGCCUCUAUUCCUAAUCUUCUUAUCUCUGCUCUUUCCUUUAAUUUCCCAAGGUUACAUCUUUAUAUUAAAAUUCAUCACAAAUCAUCACCAGAAUUACUGUUACAUCCAAAUCUGUUACAUUGGUAUCAGAGCUUGGUUUUUGCUUCUAUUUAGCAAAGAUCAGGGCUGGGCAUGGCAGACGGCACGCGUGUGAAGGAACUACAGGAGGCGCACAAAAAACUGGAUCAGCAACUGCAAGCUGAAGCAAUAAAGAGGAAUGUUAGUGAACACCAGUUGAAAGAACAGAUCAAAGGGCUCGAUCAGAAAAUGGACAGUAAAUAUGAUCAGAUGGCAAAGUCAUUGGAAGAAAUCAAGCAACAUCNUAUCAGUUAAUACAUUACCAUCAAGAUGGGGUUGAAAGAAUGUACCUGAUUCUGCCUCAGGAAAAUGUUGCACAGCACCAUGUUCCUACAUCUAUUUCUGCACUUUUGGAGGAGUACAAGGAUGUCUUUGAUGAGCCACAAGGACUACCACCAAAGAGAGGAGUUGAACACCAGAUUGUACUUAAGCCUGGCAGUGUACCUAAACACCAAUUUCCCUACAGGACAACACACAGUAAUAAAGAUGAGAUUGAAAGGAUAGUGAAAGAGUUACUGGACUCUAGUACAAUUCAAAACAGCAUGAGCCAUUUUGCUUCUCCAGCAAUUUUAGUGAAGAAGAAGGAUGGUUCUUGGAGGAUGUGUAUUGAUUAUAGGUAUUUUAACUCACUUACUGUUAAACAUGAUUAUCCUAUUCCAAUCAUUGAUGAGUUGCUAGAUGAGUUGUAUGGGGCUAGCUAUUUCUCUAAGUUAGACUUGAGAUCUGGGUAUUUUCAUAUUUUAAUGAAGGAUGAAGAUAGAUACCUGACAGCUUUUAGCACUCAUCAUGGGCAUUUUGAAUUCUUGGUGAUGCCUUUUGGCCUUUGUAAUGCACCUGCAACAUUUCAGUCGUCAAUGAAUAAGGUAUUUGUAGCCAUAUUUGAGGAAAUGUGUGUUGGUUUUCUUUGAUGACAUUCUGGUCUACAGUAAGGGGUAUGGGGAACAUCUAUUGCACCUCAAAGCUGUGUUGGAGGUGCUCAGGUCACAAACUUUGUAUGCAAAAAUGAGUAAGUGCCAAUUUGGUGUGCAAAGUAUUGAGUAUCUGGGUCAUAUCAUCUCCAAGGAUGGAGUAGCUACUGAUCCACAGAAUGUGGAUAUCAUGCUUAAUUGGCCUGUUCCAAAGGCUCUUAAACAAUUGAGGGGAUUUCUUGGACUGACUGGAUAUUAUAGGAAAUUCAUUAGGCAUUAUGGGUUGAUUAGCAAGCCUCUCACUGAACUCUUAAAAAAAGACAGUUUUAAGUGGUCUCCUGAAGCUACUAGAGCCUUUGAUGGUUUGAAACAAGCUAUGGUGUCUGCACCAGUGUUAGCAUUGCCUGAUUUACUCAACCUUUCACAUUAGAGACUGAUGCCAGUAGAGUUGGAGUGGGAGCUGUUCUCAUGCAGAAUCAGAAACCUAUUGCUUACAUGAGCAAAGCCUGAUGCACUAAAAAUUAGCUGUUAUCAGUGUAUGAGAGGGAAUUCUUGGCUGUAAUCAUGGCUGUUCAAAGAUGGAGGUCUUAUCUGCAGGGCCAUAAGUUUUUUAUUCGAACUGAUCAACAGGCAUUAAGACACCUCUUGGAUCAAAAGAUAAUGAACCCUAUUCAGCAGAAAUGGAUCACCAAACUUCUGGGACUGAACUAUGAAAUCCAGUAUAGAAAGGGGAGUGAGAACAAGGCAGCUGAUGCCUUAUCCAGAUACCCAAGAGAUGAAGAGAGUUGUGACUCCCUCACUACAGUCACACCUAUAUGGAUGCAGAGAGUGAAACAGAGUUAUGAAGGGGAUGCAUACUAUUCCCAAGUCCUUCUUUCCAAACCGAUUGACCCCUCUACAUAUGCUGACUAUUCUGUCGUUGCUGGAAUUAUUCAAUAUAAAGGCAGGGUUGUGGUGGGGUCUGCUACUAAUCUUAGGCAGCUUAUUUUAAGUGAGGUGCACAGCACACCAUUUGGAGGACAUUCAGGCGUUUGGGGAACUUAUUCAAGGCUCAAGUCCUUCUUUUAUUGGCCGAAUAUGAAAAAAGAUGUGGAACUCAAAGUUCAGGAUUGUGAUACAUGUCAAAGGAACAAGGCGGAACAUGUCCAAUACCCUGGUUUACUACAACCUCUUCCUAUUCCAGAUAAAUUUUGGACUCAUAUUACCAUGGACUUCAUCGAAGGGCUACCUAAAUCUUUUGGAAAGAAUGUGAUUAUGGUGGUGGUGGACAGACUCAGUAAGUAUGCUCACUUCUUGGCACUAUCCCACCCAUUCACAGCUCAAACUGUAGCUCGGCUGUUUAUGGAUCAGGUUUAUAAGUUACAUGGUCCCCCAAUCAGUAUUGUGACUGAUAGGGAUAAGGUUUUCACUAGUCACUUUUGGAGGGAGCUGUUUAAGGCCAUUGGUACCAAACUGGAAAUGACAACCGCGUAUCACCCCCAAUCCGAUGGACAGACAGAAAGGGUGAAUCAAUGCUUAGAGGGGUAUUUACGGUGCAUGGCUGGUGCUACCCCUAAGCAAUGGGUGAAGUGGCUUUCACUAGCUGAGUAUUGGUACAAUACAAACUAUCACAGCAGUCUAAAGUGUUCUCCCUAUCAAGCUCUAUAUGGUUUGCCACCUCCACAUACCGGAUUAGGAGCUUACCUGAGUUCUCCCAACCAGGAAGUGAAGGAAUGGUUGUCACAGAGGCAGGCUAUGGUUACCACAUUGAAGAAAAAUUUGGUCUUGGCUCAAGAACGAAUGAAACUCUAUGCCGACAAAAAACGAACAGAAAGAAGCUUUCUAGCAGGCGAUUUUGUUUACCUCAAAUUGCAGCCCUAUCGUCAGAGCUCUGUUGUCUUGAGAAAAAAUCUGAAAUUGGCGGCGAAGUAUUACGGUCCCUAUCAGAUCGAGGAAAAAAUUGGUGAGGUUGCUUAUAAAUUGAAGCUUCCCGAGUCGUCGAAAAUACACCCUGUAUUUCAUGUUUCGCUCCUCAAGAAGUGUUUGGGGAAGAACAUUGUACCUUCUAGUGAGCUUCCUGAUGUAGAUGCCGAAGGACAUUUCAAGGUGGUCCCUUUUUCGAUUCUGGACCAUCGCACCAUAACUCGUGAGGGGAAGUCGGUACAGCAAGCUUUGGUUCAAUGGACAGAAUCUGGUGCUGAGGCAGCAGAAUGGGUGGAUUUGAAACUUCUUCGCCGGAAAUUCGAAAUUACUGAUCCUUGCGGUCAAGGAUCUGAAAAUCCGGGAGGUAUUGUUACGAACAUGGUCGAGAAUGAAGGUGCAACUGUCGAGGAUGAAGGCGCAGCUACAGAUGAGAGUUUGAAGACGGCAGAGGUUGAGGGAAACUUUGGGAAUUUUGUUAUUGUGGCUGAAGAAGAUUUGACCGAAGAGAGAAAGAAGACUGAGGAAAUUGUGGGAGUUAAGGAGCAGCGUACAAGUGGCUAGAUGGAUGGACAGGAUAGCUGGGCUGAACACGUGGUUCCCAACGUGUUCCUUUAUCUUGAUUCAUUUAUUUAUGCUUUAGUUUAUUUCUUGGGAUAGCUGUAUAGCUUUUGGUCCCCACUUAUGAUCUUAGUAUAAAAGUAUGCUGCAUGAUUAUGAAACCCUAAGAAAUAUAUGAAAUUCCUCCUCUCAUCUCGCCUCUAUUCCUAAUCUUCUUAUCUCUGCUCUUUCCUUUAAUUUCCCAAGGUUACAUCUUUAUAUUAAAAUUCAUCACAAAUCAUCACCAGAAUUACUGUUACAUCCAAAUCUGUUACA
rnacentral:lncRNA from 1 species